ACCAGAAUAGGUUUGUUGUACUGCACAUUGCUGCAGCUCCUUUUUUCACCGUGUGUUCAGGGGCCUGUUUUAGCUAGACAGAGAGAGACAUAUUUUCUUCU